rnacentral:snRNA from 1 species
GUGCUUGCUUUGACAACACAUAUACUAAAAUUGGGCAAUGCAGAGAAGAUCAGCAUGGUCUCUGCCCAAGGAUGACACAUUUGUGAAGUGUUCCAUAUUUUU